AAGAUGAAAAGAACUUUGAAAAGAGAGUUAAACAGUACGUGAAAUUGUUGAAAGGGAAACGAUUGAAGUCAGUCAUACCAACGGGAAAUCAACCUUUUGAGCUCGGUCUCGUGGGUUUUGAAGAGUUUCAAAGCCUUCGGAUUCGCGGGAUUGGGAUCUCUCGGCGUACUUUUUCGUACGGUUAGUCAACAUCGGUUUUGAAUGUCAUAAAAUGACUGGAGGAAUGUAGCUU
rnacentral:rRNA from 1 species